AAAUAGAACUGAAUGGUAAUUUACACAGCGGCGGCGAUAGCGGCAAAGUGUGAUGCUGGUGUGCGGAGUGGUAUUGAGAACAAUGGAAUCUGAUGUAAUUGAAUGUAGAAAGCGGAUAUAAACUGAGAUAAAC